GCUGCACGUAAUUGCGCAUAGGCUACUCAUCUACAUAGUGCAAAGUGUGCAGAUGGACCCCUGAGGGACAUUAUGCAGGACUGGAGAGGAACCAUCUGUCGUGCACUAAUAUGACAUCACCACGUCAGUAAGAAUGCUGGGUUCUUGAUGCACCGACAGUCGUGGAGUAAACAAGCUGGGGUAUCCUGUUCUCCCACCUCCGUGACUACACUGCUGUCUGCACCACAGAGCUGGGCCGAGCCGCCAAACUCAGCUGUAAAUUUAGCAGGAGCAACAUAGAGAUGAUCGCACUGUCCAUCGACAGUCUGGAGGACCAUCGUGUCUGGACCAAGGUUUCGUGUGCUUCCCAAAUGGCUCCCUAUUCCCUUUAUAGGGCACUACUUUUGACCAGGGCCCAUAGAAUAGGGUGCCGCUUGGGAUAAAGCCAUAGUUUUGAGUGCCUAUACCAUUGACCAGUGCGUUUAGUAAUAGAGGGGCUGUGCUGUGAUCCUGUAAGACAUCCUAGCCUACAACAAUGAGGAAGGAGUCUGGCUGUGCGUUCCUCUUCCCCAUCAUAGCAGACAGUCACAGGAAGCUGGCAGUGGCCCUGUGCGUGCUGGACCAUGACGAGAAGGACAAGGACGGCAUUCCCCUUACUGCCACUGUAAUUGUAACGGCUGAUUUCCAACCGCGUUGCCCGUCUGCUCUUCGUCUGAAGAGGAGGUGUAGCAGGGAUCGGACCAAAGCGCAGAGUGGUAAGUGUCCAUGUUUUAAUAUAAUUAACUGAACACGACAAAAAAUACAAAAUAACAAAGUAACCUAACCGAAACAGUCCCAGUGGUACGAACACAGACACAGGAAACAAACACCCACAAACCAACAGUGAAAACAGGCAACCUAAAUAUGGUUCCCAAUCAGAGACAAUGCAAAACACCUGUCUCUGAUUGAGAACCAUAUCAGGCCAAUUGACAAACCUAAACAUAGAAACACAUAACAUAGACUGCCCACCCCAACUCACGCCCUGACCAUACUAACUAAAGACAAAAACAAAGGAAAAUAAAGGUCAGAACGUGACAAGAAUAAUAGUGAAGACACCAAAACUAUGAAAUAACACAUAUGGAAUCAUGUAGUAACCAAAACAAAUACAAAUAUAUUUAAUAUUUAUCAGACCUCAGGAUAAGACCCAGAUGCAGAGAGUUCGAAUCACAGAUGUUUAUUAACAAAACAGGGGGCAUGCAGACGACAGGUAAAGGGCAGGCAGAGGUCGGUAAUCCAGGGUAGUGUCAGACAGGUACAGAACGGUAGUUAAGCUCAGGGUCAGGGCAGGCAGUGGCCAAAACCAGAAAAACUAGAAAAACAGGGGCAAGAGAGAAACAGAAGUACGGGAAAACCACGCUGGUAGGCUUGAUGAGACAAGACGAACUGGCAACAGACAAACAGGAAACACAGGUAUAAAUGCACAGGGAAUAAAUGGGGAAAAUGGGCGACACCUGGAGGGGGGUGGAGACAAGCACAAGACAGGUGAAACAGAUCAGGGUGUGACAAUACUUGAGAUUCUUCAAAGUAGUCACCCUUUGCCUUGAUGACAGCUUUAAAAGAUUCAUGAGGAAUGCUUUUCCAACAAUCUUGAUGGAGUUCCCACAUACUGUAUGCUGAGCACUUGUUGGCUGCUUUUCCUUCACUCUGUGGUCCAACUCAUCCCAAAAUAUCUAAAUUGGGUUGAGGUCAGGUGAUUGUGGAGGCCAGGUUAUCUGAUGCAGCACUCCAUCCCUCUCUGUCUUGAUCAAAUAGCCCUUACACAGCCUGGAGGUGUGUUGGGUCAUUGUCCUAUUGAAAUACAAAUGAUAGUCCCACUAAGCGCAAACCAGAUGGGGUGG